rnacentral:misc_RNA from 1 species
CGCACAUUGCGCCCCUUGGUAUUCCGAGGGGCAUGCCUGUUCGAGCGUCAUUACACCCCUCAAGCUCAGCUUGGUAUUGGGGCUCGCCCGCCGGGGCGGCCCCGAAAAUCAGCGGCGGUGCAGCCGAUCUUCCUAGCGCAGUGACAUAUUUUCUCGCUACUGAAGGCUCCUGCUCCAGCCGAAAGCUUCCUUCGGGAAACUCUCCAAGAUUGACCUCGGAUCAGGUAGGAAUACCCGCUGAACUUAA